rnacentral:rRNA from 1 species
CCUAGUCGUAAACUUUAACUUACCCCUCCCAUCGCCCGGGAACUACGAGCUAAGCUUAAAACCCAAAGGACUUGACGGUACCCCAUAUCCCCCUAGAGGAGCCUGUCCUAUAAUCGAUAAUCCCCGCUUAACCUCACCAUUUUUUGCCAAUAGCCUGUAUACCUCCGUCGUCAGCUUACCACGUGAGCGUCAGUGAGCCUAAUGUUCUUCCAACUAUACGUCAGGUCAAGGUGCAACAUAUAAAAUGGAAAGAGAUGGGCUACACUUUCUACCAUAGAAUAAACGAAAGACUAAAUGAAACCUAGUCAAAAGGCGGAUUUAGCAGUAAAGUGAAACUAGAGCGUUCACUUAAAUACGGCACUGGGGUGUGUACACACCGCCCGUCACCCUCCUCAACUCUGCAUAAAAGUUUUUAACACCUUUUCAGAGACUCAGAAGAGGCAAGUCGUAACACGGUAAG